UACAGUGAAAUGCUGAAUACAACAGGUGUAGUAGACCUUACAGUGAAAUGCUGAAUACAACAGGUGUAGUAGACCUCACAGUGAAAUGCUGAAUACAACAGGUGUAGUAGACCUUACAGUGAAAUGCUGAAUACAACAGUUGUAGUAGACCUUACAGUGAAAUGCUGAAUACAACAGGUGUAGUAGACCUUACAGUGAAAUGCUGAAUACAACAGGUGUAGUAGACCUAACAGUGAAAUGCUGAAUACAACAGGUGUAGUAGACCUUACAGUGAAAUGCUGAAUACAACAGGUGUAGUAGACCUUACAGUGAAAUGCUGAAUACAACAGGUGUAGUAGACCUUACAGUGAAAUGCUGAAUACAACAGGUGUAGUAGACCUUACAGUGAAAUGCUGAAUACAACAGGUGUAGUAGACCUAACAGUGAAAUGCUGAAUACAACAGGUGUAGUAGACCUAACAGUGAAAUGCUGAAUACAACAGGUGUAGUAGACCUAACAGUGAAAUGCUGAAUACAACAGGUGUAGUAGACCUU